rnacentral:rRNA from 1 species
AACCCAGACUCCUACGGGAGGCAGCAGUGGGGAAGACUGCACAAUGGGGGAAACCCUGAAGCAGCGACGCCGCGUGAAGGAAGAAGUAUUUCGGUAUGUAAACUUCUAUCAGCAGGGAAGAAAAUGACGGUACCUGACUAAGAAGCCCCGGCUAACUACGUGCCAGCAGCCGCGGUAAUACGUAGGGGGCAAGCGUUAUCCGGAUUUACUGGGUGUAAAGGGAGCGUAGGCGGUUUAGCAAGUCAGAAGUGAAAGCCCGGGGGUCAACUCCGGGACUGCUUUUGAAACUGCCCGGCUAGAGUGCUGGAGAGGUAAGCGGAAUUCCUAGUGUAGCGGUGAAAUGCGUAGAUAUUAGGAGGAACACC